rnacentral:rRNA from 1 species
ACUGAAACAUCUAAGUACCCCGAGGAAAAGAAAUCAACCGAGAUUCCCCCAGUAGCGGCGAGCGAACGGGGAGCAGCCCAGAGUCUGAAUCAGCUUGUGUGUUAGUGGAAGCGUCUGGAAAGUCGCAGGGUACAGGGUGAUACUCCCGUACACGAAAGCACACUUGCUGUGAACUCGAAGAGUAGGGCGGGACACGUGGUAUCCUGUCUGAAUAUGGGGGGACCAUCCUCCAAGGCUAAAUACUCCUGACUGACCGAUAGUGAACCAGUACCGUGAGGGAAAGGC